ACUUAACAACAAAACUGGUUUUCCCAUUGGUCUGGCAGAUAUUUCAUAUUCUGAGAUCAUUGUGAAAACUGAUUUUGUACC
rnacentral:pre_miRNA from 1 species